rnacentral:rRNA from 1 species
GACGCUGGCGGCGUGCCUAAUACAUGCAAGUCGAACGCUUCUUUUUCCACCGGAGCUUGCUCCACCGGAAAAAGAAGAGUGGCGAACGGGUGAGUAACACGUGGGUAACCUGCCCAUCAGAAGGGGAUAACACUUGGAAACAGGUGCUAAUACCGUAUAACAAUCGAAACCGCAUGGUUUUGAUUUGAAAGGCGCUUUCGGGUGUCGCUGAUGGAUGGACCCGCGGUGCAUUAGCUAGUUGGUGAGGUAACGGCUCACCAAGGCCACGAUGCAUAGCCGACCUGAGAGGGUGAUCGGCCACAUUGGGACUGAGACACGGCCCAAACUCCUACGGGAGGCAGCAGUAGGGAAUCUUCGGCAAUGGACGAAAGUCUGACCGAGCAACGCCGCGUGAGUGAAGAAGGUUUUCGGAUCGUAAAACUCUGUUGUUAGAGAAGAACAAGGAUGAGAGUAACUGUUCAUCCCUUGACGGUAUCUAACCAGAAAGCCACGGCUAACUACGUGCCAGCAGCCGCGGUAAUACGUAGGUGGCAAGCGUUGUCCGGGAUUUAUUGGGGCGUAAAGCGAGCGCAGGCGGUUUUCUUAAAGUUCUGAUGUGAAAAGCCCCCCGGCUUCAACC